CCUACGGGUGGCAGCAGUGGGGAAUAUUGGACAAUGGGCGCAAGCCUGAUCCAGCAAUGCCGCGUGUGUGAAGAAGGCCUUCGGGUUGUAAAGCACUUUUAUCAGGAGCGAAAUGCCAUGGGUCAAUACCCCGUGGAGCUGACGGUACCUGAGGAAUAAGCACCGGCUAACUUCGUGCCAGCAGCCGCGGUAAUACGAAGGGUGCUUGCGUUAAUCGGAGGUACUGGGCGUAGAGGGUGCGUUGGGGGUUGAAAUCCCCGGGCUCAACCUGGGAAUGGCAAUGGAUACUGGCGGGCUAGAGUGUGUCAGAGGAUAGUGGAAUUCCCGGUGUAGCGGUGAAAUGCGUAGAGAUCGGGAGGAACAUCAGUGGCGAAGGCGGCCAUCUGGGACAACACUGACGCUGAAGCACGAAAGCGUGGGGAGCAAACAGGAUUAGAUACCCCGGUAGUC
rnacentral:rRNA from 1 species